AGGACCAUGGUUCACAAGUUCGUGAGGAUUUUUUUUAGGCUGAUCGUAAUGACAGGCACCAAGCCCGAGCAUGGGACGAUGUAUCGGAGCUUAAGGAGAGGGAAAAGGUUGUCGGUUCAGGCCAGGGGAGCUUAUUGGUUAAUAUUUAUGGCUACAUGAGGAAUAUGAACAACAAUCGUUGGAUUUGAAUUCCAACAACUAGAAGUCGACCGAGCAUGUAUGAUCAUUGUAAAAUGGACGGAGUAAUAUAGUCAUAGAUGGCGGUAGCCCUUUUAGUACAUGUGUUUUGACAAAGGGUAUUAUAUUUUGAUAUUAAAAUAACAUCAAUUACAUGAGAUCUAUGCCACGGCAAAAUAUUAUUGAGACCUA